UGAAGAAGUUAUUGUAGGAG
rnacentral:misc_RNA from 1 species